GCCGCGAAACCGGGCUGCGCUCCCGGGCCCGGGUGCGCCUCGGCUUCUCGGCCUGUCGCAGGCCCCUCGGGCGGCGCCGGGCGGCUCACGAGGGCGCCGGCCCGGCCUCCCACCCCCGGGAACAGGGCUACAAAAUCAGGGGCGACCGCACGACACACAACGCCCAGUCCGCGAAAAAGCCCGGGGAACGACGCCGAGCGGGACCGCCAGGGGGGCUGCUGGCUUUAGCUCAAGACAUGGCUCCCGGCCCUCUCCAGAGCAAAUGACCAGAUGGAGAAAGAGAGAAAGAUGCGGGGAUGGAGGCGCGCUGACUUGUCUAACCUCAUCUCAGACGUACCGUCACUGCGGCAGUGUCCCGGCGUGCACGCGCACGGAGCCUGAUGGAAGGUAGGAGGCGAUGGCCCGAGGGCGAGGAUGCCAGGAAGCAGGGAUCCCUGGGGGCCGUCCUGGAGGUCAGCGGCCACACUGAUCACACUGAGGGCUGGUUGUCCUGAGCCGCUUGUAAAUGGGUCAGAGAUGCCCGGAGUCUCAGCACCAGGAGCACCGUGAGAACCCAAGAGGCCCUGGGCUUGGUUUCCAGCUAAGGAAACCAAGUUUAGGGGUUUAUUUGCGAGAACGCAGCUGCUCUUGUCAGGAUCCCGGGGCCUCAGUCUGGCCUUGUCCUGGGGAGAAGGACCACGCCUCACCCUCUCCCACCCUCCCCUCCUCCGUGCCUUCCCUCUGCAGGUGCAGGUGCUGGGGUUCUGGCACAUAAAGGCCUAGAUCAAGGUCACGUUGCCCAAGCCCUGACGAGUUCCUUCUUUCCCAGAGCUGCUCCCUCACAUUCUCCCUCAGUUAAAGCAAGAAGACAAUCCGGCUUAUUUCCACAUACACGGGGUGGUCGGUGCCUCUGCCACGGGGGGUGGUCGGUGCCCUCGUAGCCCCAGAGAGCAGCACAGGCCAGCACGUCGGCACUGCCCGACACAAGUCCACGCCGGCCUUCUGGGAUCCCACUGACAACUGGAGUCUGGUGUCAGACCGUCUCGAAGCUCCGUGAUCUCCGAGCAAAACAAAACACUGCCGCAAACUGGAAGGCAACCUGAGGUACCAGGGAGAAGCUGGGAAGGUGUGUGGUCGCUAAAAGUUCCAGCAUUUGGGAUUCUCGCUCAGGGUUAGAGCUCCCCUUUCUCAGAGGCUGUGGAAGUCCGGGCUGUGAGCUCCUGGAGAGGGGCCAGGGGGUACACUUCCGGCUCCUAACAGAGUCCAUCUAGGACCUUUGUUGCAAAGCACAGAAUUGUUGGUAAUUCUCUGAUGGUCCUGUUCAAAUUCCCUGGGAAACUGCUCUCACCUUCUUAUGCUGUGGGCAGUGCUGAUUCAGUGACAGAAGUGAGAACAAGUCGACCAUUCGAGUGGCCCUUGACUGGCAGAUCAGUCCCAUCUCCAAACCUGCAGUGACAAAAAACAGUGAUCCCAGGGAGACUGUGGGGCUCCAAGGCUCCUCACGAAGCAGUGGCUGCAGCUGCUCUCUGGUGCCACGGAGCCCAGCAAGUCCCCAGAGACAGAGGCGGGGGGGGGGGGUGUCCCCUAUGAGGGGAUGGAACACCUGCCGCACCUGUCUUUACCCUGCAGAGACUCGCUCAGGGAUGGGGUAACAGGGCUAUGAGAAGAUACCGCCAAGGGACGAGUCUGAAGCACAGAGGAUCAGAAGCUGAGGCAUCACGUCUCAAACUAUCAUUGAGUGUGUUCCUUGUAACUCCGGCAGUCACAGUGUUCGGGGCGGGGGGGGGUUGGGGGGACAGUGUUCCAAAGUCAGAACUGAUUUUCGGUAACACUUCCCUAGCCCCUUUGGGGAUGGUUAGGUCACAGUGCAAAUUGUCAUGGUAAAGGCUCUGAGAAGGCCUGUGGGAAGUAACCUUGUUUCAUUUAGACCCAUUAUUCUGAAACUUAUUGAUCACAGACUCCUGUUGUUGUUGGAA